rnacentral:rRNA from 1 species
AGUGAACGCUGGCGGUAGGCCUAACACAUGCAAGUCGAGCAGCAGCACAGUAAGAGCUUGCUCUUACGGGUGGCGAGUGGCGGACGGGUGAGGAAUACAUCGGAAUCUACUUUUUCGUGGGGGAUAACGUAGGGAAACUUACGCUAAUACCGCAUACGACCUACGGGUGAAAGCAGGGGAUCUUCGGACCUUGCGCGAUUGAAUGAGCCGAUGUCGGAUUAGCUAGUUGGCGGGGUAAAGGCCCACCAAGGCGACGAUCCGUAGCUGGUCUGAGAGGAUGAUCAGCCACACUGGAACUGAGACACAGUCCAGACUCCUACGGGAGGCAGCAGUGGGGAAUAUUGGACAAUGGGCGCAAGCCUGAUCCAGCCAUACCGCGUGGGUGAAGAAGGCCUUCGGGUUGUAAAGCCCUUUUGUUGGGAAAGAAAAGCAGCAGGUUAAUACCCCGCUGUUCUGACGGUACCCAAAGAAUAAGCACCGGCUAACUUCGUG